GACAGAGGCCUCGAGCGUUAGGCGGAAUCACUGGGCUUAAAGCGUGUGUAGGCGGAUCGUUAAGUGCCUUGUGAAAUCCCACGGCUUAACUGUGGAACGGCUGGGCAUACUGGCGGUCUUGAGCCAUCCAGGGGCGACUGGAACAAACGGUGGAGCGGUGAAAUGCGUAGAUAUCGUUUGGAACGCCAAUGGUGAAAACAGGUCGCUGGGGAUGAGCUGACGCUGAGGAGCGAAAGCGUGGGGAUCAAACAGG
rnacentral:rRNA from 1 species